rnacentral:rRNA from 1 species
AUUGAACGCUGGCGGCAGGCCUAACACAUGCAAGUCGAACGAGUGGCGGACGGGUGAGUAAUGUCUGGGACACUGCCUGAGGGGGGGGGAAAACUACUGGACACGGUCGCUAAUACCGCAUACCCUCGGAUGUGCCCAGAUGGGAUUAGCUAGUAGGUGGGGUAAAGGCUCACCUAGGCGACGAUCCCUAGCUGGUCUGAGAGGAUGAUCAGCCACACUGGAACUGAGACACGGUCCAGACUCCUACGGGAGGCAGCAGUGGGGAAUAUUGCACAAUGGGCGCAAGCCUGAUGCAGCCAUGCCGCGUGUAUGAAGAAGGCCUUCGGGUUGUAAAGUACUUUCAGCGGGGAGGCGUUACCGGCAGAAGAAGCACCGGCUAACUCCGUGCCAGCAGCCGCGGUAAUUC